rnacentral:piRNA from 1 species
CUGGUACAAGAUGAAUGCUA